rnacentral:rRNA from 1 species
CCUACGGGCGGCAGCAGUGAGGAAUAUUGGUCAAUGGGCUUACGCCUGAACCAGCCAAGUCGCGUGAGGGAAGACUGCCCUAUGGGUUGUAAACCUCUUUUGUCAGGGAGCAACGCCGGCUACGUGUAGCCGGACUGAGAGUACCUGAAGAAAAAGCAUCGGCUAACUACGUGCCAGCAGCCGCGGUAAUACGUAGGUGGCAAGCGUUGUCCGGAUUUACUGGGUGUAAAGGGCGUGUAGCCGGGAAGGCAAGUCAGAUGUGAAAUCCGGAGGCUCAACCUCCGAAUUGCAUUUGAAACUGUUUUUCUUGAGUACUGGAGAGGCAGACGGAAGUCCUGGUGUAGCGGUGAAAUGCGUAGAUAUAAGGAGGAACACCAGUGGCGAAGGCGGUCUGCUGGACAGCAACUGACGGUGAGGCGCGAAAGCGUGGGGAGCAAACAGGAUUAGAUACCCGAGUAGUC